rnacentral:rRNA from 1 species
GACGAACGCUGGCGGCGUGCCUAAUACAUGCAAGUUGAGCGAUGAAGAUUGGUGCUUGCACCAAUUUGAAGAGCAGCGAACGGGUGAGUAACGCGUGGGGAAUCUGCCUUUGAGCGGGGGACAACAUUUGGAAACGAAUGCUAAUACCGCAUAACAACUUUAAACAUAAGUUUUAAGUUUGAAAGAUGCAAUUGCAUCACUCAAAGAUGAUCCCGCGUUGUAUUAGCUAGUUGGUGAGGUAAAGGCUCACCAAGGCGAUGAUACAUAGCCGACCUGAGAGGGCGAGCGGCCAGAUUGGGACUGAGACACGGCCCAAACUCCUACGGGAGGCAGCAGUAGGGAACCUUCGGCAAUGGACGAAAGUCUGACCGAGCAACGCCGCGUGAGUGAAGAAGGUUUUCGGAUCGUAAAACUCUGUUGGUAGAGAAGAACGUUGGUGAGAGUGGAAAGCUCAUCAAGUGACGGUAACUACCCAGAAAGGGACGGCUAACUACGUG